CCAUCCGCCACUCAAGAUCCCCCUUCGUCCACUCUCUUUGUUGCUUGGUCCCUUUCGCAUUGUCAGUGGAGGCCCGAAGGAGGCACUCCUCUCAAUAUAUUUGGCAAUGUCUCAUUGGACGUCAACAAGCUCUGCUUCAUCAAAUUCAAGAUCUCUCCUACAGCCUUUUUCUUUGAUCCCCAUUCCACCUUUUCUACUCCUCAAGCCCCAUUCCACCUUUCAAAAAUUAGGGUUUUGCAAUUCUUUCUUCCUUCAAUCAAUCACUUUUUCUACUCCUCAAUCCCCAUUCCACCUUUCAAAAAUUAGGGUUUUGCAAUUCUUUCUUCCUUCAAUCAAUCACUAAGAUGAGUAGAUUCAUGUUUCAAUCCCACAGUCUCCCGCUCUUUGGUUAUCAUUCGGUUUGUUCAGAGAAGGUGGAGGCGGAAGCCUCAUGUAAUUGACAGCUAGGAUUCUCCAUUUGAGGAUGAUGGAGCUAGAGGCGAUAAGCCGAAGGAGAAUUGGCACUUGGUGGGGGUUUCUGCCUCC
rnacentral:lncRNA from 1 species